UUGAAAAUUUUUUUUUGACGAAAAUCGCUUUAAUGGUCAUAAAAUUGAUGUUCCUCUACUCGGAUCGGGCUGCCAAUUUGUUUCUACACUUUUAGGUGUAUUUUGUGCAAGAAAUUGCAAUAAAAUAAUGUGCCUAAGAAUAAUUGAAUUUUUUUGAAAAUUUUUUUUUGACGAAAAUCGCUUUAAUGGUCAUAAAAUUUGUGUUCCUCUACUCGGAUCGGGCUGUCAAUUUUUUUCUACACUUUUAGGUGUAUUUUGUGCAAGAAAUUGCAAUAAAAUAGUCUGCCUAAGAAAAAUUGAAUUUUUUUGAAAAUUUUUUUUUGACGAAAAUCGCUUUAAUGGUCAUAAAAUUGGUGUUCCUCUACUCGGAUCGGGCCGUCAAUUUUUUUCUACACUUUUAGGUGUAUUUUGUGCAAGAAAUUGCAAUAAAAUAGUCUGCCUAAGAAAAAUUGAAUUUUUUUGAAAAUUUUUUUUUGACGAAAAUCGCUUUAAUGGUCAUAAAAUUGGUGUUCCUCUACUCGGAUCGAACUGUCAAUUUUUUUCUACACUUUUAGGUGUAUUUUGUGCAAGAAAUUGCAAUAAAAUAAUGUGCCUAAGAAAAAUUGAAUUUUUUUGAAAAUUUUUUUUUGACGAAAAUCGCUUUAAUGGUCAUAAAAUUGGUGUUCCUCUACUCGGAUCGGGCUGCCAAUUUUUUUCUACACUUUUAGGUGUAUUUUGUGCAAGAAAUUGCAAUAAAAUAAUGUGCCUAAGAAUAAUUGAAUUUUUUUGAAAAUUUUUUUUUGACGAAAAUCGAUUUAAUGGUCAUAAAAUUGGUGUUCCUCUACUCGGAUCGGGCUGUCAAUUUUUUUCUACACUUUUAGGUGUAUUUUGUGCAAGAAAUUGCAAUAAAAUAGUGUGCCUAAGAAAAAUUGAAUUUUUUUGAAAUUUUUUUUUUGACGAAAAUCGCAUUAAUGGUCAUAAAAUUGGUGUUCCUCUACUCGGAUCGGUCUGUCAAUUUUUUUCUACACUUUUAGAUGUAUUUUGUGCAAGAAAUUGCAAUAAAAUAAUGUGCCUAAGAAAAAUUGAAUUUUUUUGAAAAUUUUUUUUUGACGAAAAUCGCUUUAAUGGUCAUAAAAUUGGUGUUCCUCUACUCGGAUCGAACUGUCAAUUUUUUUCUACACUUUUAGGUGUAUUUUGUGCAAGAAAUUGCAAUAAAAUAGUGUGCCUAAGAAAAAUUGAAUUUUUUUGAAAAUUUUUUUUUGACGAAAAUCGCUUUAAUGGUCAUAAAAUUGGUGUUCCUCUACUCGGAUCGGGCCGUCAAUUUUUUUCUACACUUUUAGGUGUAUUUUGUGCAAGAAAUUGCAAUAAAAUAGUCUGCCUAAGAAAAAUUGAAUUUUUUUGAAAAUUUUUUUUUGACGAAAAUCGCUUUAAUGGUCAUAAAAUUGGUGUUCCUCUACUCGGAUCGGGCCGUCAAUUUUUUUCUACACUUUUAGGUGUAUUUUGUGCAAGAAAUUGCAAUAAAAUAGUCUGCCUCAGAAAAAUUGAAUUUUUUUGAAAAUUUUUUUUUGACGAAAAUCGCUUUAAUGGUCAUAAAAUUGGUGUUCCUCUACUCGGAUCGGGCCGUCAAUUUUUUUCUACACUUUUAGGUGUAUUUUGUGCAAGAAAUUGCAAUAAAAUAGUCUGCCUAAGAAAAAUUGAAUUUUUUUGAAAAUUUUUUUUUGACGAAAAUCGCUUUAAUGGUCAUAAAAUUGGUGUUCCUCUACUCGGAUCGAACUGUCAAUUUUUUUCUACACUUUUAGGUGUAUUUUGUGCAAGAAAUUGCGAUAAAAUAAUGUGCCUAAGAAAAAUUGAAUUUUUUUGAAAAUUUUUUUUUGACGAAAAUCGCUUUAAUGGUCAUAAAAUUGGUGUUCCUCUACUCGGAUCGGGCCGUCAAUUUGUUUCUACACUUUUAGGUGUAUUUUGUUCAAGAAAUUGCAAUAAAAUAGUCUGCCUAUGAAAAAUUGAAUUUUGUAGAAAAUUUUUAUGGUUAUGGUUGGCUUAUGGGUGUUAAUAGGGGUUUUUCUCUACUUGUAGCGGUGUGUCAAUUGUCUUCUGUACUUUUAGUUGUAUUUUGUGCGAGUUUUUGCAAUAAAAUUGUGUGUGAUGAACUUUCUUUUUUUUUUGAAAAAUGUCAGUAUUGGGGAUUAUACUGGUUAUAGGGUUGUUUUUCUAAUGAAUUUGGUGUUGAAUUUAAUUUUUUUUUUAAGUUUAAUGUUGUUUUGAAGUUUUUGUAAUUUUUUGUUGUAUUUAUGCAGUAUUUUGGUUUUAAAUUUUCUAUGAUCGUAAUCGUUGUGAACUUCACCGACCUAUAUUUUCAAUAAAAUC